UUGCUGCUGCUGCUGCGAGGCUACGACGUUGCUCUGCGUGGAAUGACGCAGGUCCUGGUAGCCCGACUCUAGCUCCGUUGUUACUGCGUGAAAGUUUGAAUAUUGGUGUUGAUUGAUGCAAAAAAUAACCGGCGGAAAUUAUUUUACAUAAUUAAGCACACACACACACACGGCUCUAUGAAUACCGGGAACUCAAUUGGUGUGACCGUGCUUAAUACGUUCCAUAAAUACCGAAAUACCAAGGGAUUUAAAAGUAUGGCUGCACUCACAGA